rnacentral:rRNA from 1 species
UUUUAGUAUGGGAGAUUUUGUUACUUUGAGUAAAUUAGAGUGUUCAAAGCAAACAGUUAAAGCAUUUUACUGCGUUUGAAUACUACAGCAUGGAAUAACAAAAUUGAACAAGUCAGAAUUCUGUUCUUUUUUCUUAUUUUGGCUUAGUUACGAUUAAUAGGAGUAGCUUGGGGGCAUUUGUAUUCAGAUGUCAGAGGUGAAAUUCUUAGAUUUUCUGGAGACAAACAACUGCGAAAGCAUUUGCCUAAAAUACUUCCAUUAAUCAAGAACGAAAGUUAAGGGAGUGAAGACGAUCAGAUACCGUCGUAAUCUUAACCAUAAACUAUGCCGACUAGGUUUUGGAUGAAACAUUUUUAAAUAAGAAAAUUCCUUUCGGGGAAAUUUCUUAGAUUGCUUCCUUCAGUACCUUAUGAGAAAUCAAAGUCUUUGGGUUCUGGGGCGAGUAUUCGCGCAAGCGAGAAAGUUAAAAGAAUUGACGGAAGGGCACCACCAGGCGUGGAGCUUGCGGCUUAAUUUGACUCAACACGGGGAAACUCACUAGUUUAAGACAAGAGUAGGAUUGACAGAUUAAUAGCUCUUUCUUGAUUUCUUGGAUGGUGAUGCAUGGCCGUUUUUAGUUCGUGAAUAUGAUUUGUCUGGUUAAUUCCGAUAACGAACGAGAUCUUAACCUGCUAAUUAGCGGCGAAUACGUCAUAUUCUUAUGCGAAAUUGAAUAUAGCUGAAUUUGCUUAUUUUGAAGAAUACACUAGGAUAC